AGUGAACGCUGGCGGUAGGCCUAACACAUGCAAGUCGAACGGCAGCACAGGAGAGCUUGCUCUCUAGGUGGCGAGUGGCGGACGGGUGAGGAAUACAUCGGAAUCUGCCCAGUCGUGGGGGAUAACGUAGGGAAACUUACGCUAAUACCGCAUACGACCUUCGGGUGAAAGAGGGGGAUCGCAAGACCUCUCGCGAUUGGAUGAGCCGAUGUCGGAUUAGCUAGUUAGCGGGGUAAUGGCCCACCAAGGCGACGAUCCGUAGCUGGUCUGAGAGGAUGAUCAGCCACACUGGAACUGAGACACGGUCCAGACUCCUACGGGAGGCAGCAGUGGGGAAUAUUGGACAAUGGGCGCAAGCCUGAUCCAGCCAUACCGCGUGGGUGAAGAAGGCCUGCGGGUUGUAAAGCCCUUUUGUUGGGAAAGAAAUCUUUCAGGCUAAUACCCUGGGAGGAUGACGGUACCCAAAGAAUAAGCACCGGCUAACUUCGU
rnacentral:rRNA from 1 species